ACAAUGUUUUCUCUAGGAAACAAUCUGCUUUAUCACCCCCAGCUAUGUGCUAUUUAUACACUCAUAUUGUUUCAAGAAAAUUCUAUUUGGUUUUAGAAAUAGGUUUUCCACUGAGAAAGAUUGCUGCACAAAAUUCACCAGUGCACACUAUUUCCAUUGAUGGAAGAAAAAUCAAUUUGAUAAUAGAAGCCGGACCAAAAAAAAAAGAGGGAGAUUUUCUGUUAGACGCUGAGGAGGACAAAAAACUGAGGAUGGUAGAGAUGGAAAGUGCAUGACAACAUAUACAGAUGGCGUAUGGACAACACUUACAACUCCAAAUGAUACCACUAAGUCUGCAAUAACAAUUACCCGGGUGAUUCAGGGAGAAGAUCUAGUCAUGACGAUAUCACGUGGUGAUGUAACCGGGAAAAGAAUUUUCAAGAGAACAUAGAACAGAGACAAGACGCCAGUUGACCUUCACAUGUUUUGAGAUUAACAUUUUAAAUCUAACUGAAU